rnacentral:rRNA from 1 species
GACAGAGGGUGCAAACGUUGUUCGGAAUUACUGGGCGUAAAGCGCGUGUAGGCGGCUUCGCAAGUCGGGUGUGAAAUCCCACGGCUCAACCGUGGAAGUGCAUUCGAAACUGCAAGGCUAGGGUCCUGGAGAGGAAGGUGGAAUGCUUGGUGUAGAGGUGAAAUUCGUAGAUAUCAAGCGGAACACCGGUGGCGAAGGCGACCUUCUGGACAGUGACUGACGCUGAGACGCGAAAGCGUGGGGAGCAAACAGGG